rnacentral:tRNA from 1 species
GCGUGUGUAGCCCAACUCGGUAGAGGCGAUUGGCUUAAACCCAAUUUAUGUAAAAGUUCAAAUCUUUUCACGCGCA